UACGAAGGGUGCAAGCGUUAAUCGGAAUUACUGGGCGUAAAGGGUGCGUAGGCGGGUCUUUAAGUCAGGGGUGAAAUCCUGGAGCUCAACUCCAGAACUGCCUUUGAUACUGAAGAUCUUGAGUUCGGGAGAGGUGAGUGGAACUGCGAGUGUAGAGGUGAAAUUCGUAGAUAUUCGCAAGAACACCAGUGGCGAAGGCGGCUCACUGGUCCAUUACUGACGCUGAGGUGCGAAAGCGUGGGGAGCAAACAGG
rnacentral:rRNA from 1 species